UCAUCUUCUUCUUCUUUAAGCUAAGAAAGAAAAAUUAAAACCCCUAUUUUCUCUAAGCCAUAGCCGAACUCCAUCAACCACCCACACACUCAAAAUUUCUCAUCCAAACACCAAGAUUUUGGAGACAAAUAACACUAGACUUCAAGGAGAUCAAGUGUUAUGUUUCAGGUGUAUAGUAUCGGAUGUAACAGACUUCUAUCCUUGUUCCAGAAGUCCGCGAGUACAGAAAGAAGGAAUAAAUCAGUAGUGCUGCAGUAGUCGAGUCCUAGAGUGUAAUUAUGUUUUGUCAAACGGUUUUAUAUAUGUUGUUUAUACUCUGACAUGUAUAAAGGUUUUAAACUGCGCUUUUAAACCGUUUAUAUAUAUAUGUGAGAAACAGGGCAUUGCUUGAUAUGAGAUAUCGCUUUGUAAGACCCUGAUUUCUAAAGAUCGUUUUGUAUCGUUUAAAGAAGUUUUAUAAAAACGUUUUGAGAA